UUUAGAAUCUAUACAAGCAUGUGUAUUGUGUAGUGAGUAGUGACUAGUGUGUCUAUUAUGUCCGAAAAUAUAGUAUUGUGAUGGAAAAGUGUUAAUUUUAUUGUAGCUCACGAUAUGACACUACUGGAUAUCAAUUUAUUUAUUACUUGUAACAUGAUGUCAUCAUUUAACAACGUCAUACAAUAUCAGGAAAUGGACAAGACGACCAAAAUAAACAAAGUGACCUUAUUGGAAGUGUCCUACGUCUCGAAUAUUAUUGAUUGAUUUAUAUUCGCCGUACAGAUGUAUCAGUUCGUAAAUAAUUGGCCUCCAAGUUCCAACUCUAAAAUGAAAAGCAUAUUUGGGCAUAUUGAUAUUUUGCGUGGGCCAGUGUAUAUUUCUCCGCUCUAUCUGUACAGCAGCACUAUAUUUCAUUCAGAAUCACUAUUCAAAGUAAACUGUGAUCAAGACAACUUUUUUUACUAUUUACUUAGCCUUGACUGGCUAAUAUUUGGCAAGGAAACGUCAUUCAUUUAAACAGUUAAGAACUUUGGACCUAAUAGGAUAUCGUUAGCAUCAAUUAUUGAUCCUACUUUAAAGUAUGUUGGUGAAUUACGAAAAAGAAAUAUAGAAUUUGUAAUUUAUUUAAUUUAUAUAUUUUGUUGUUUGUUGUUCUAGUCGAAGUCUGUACACGCAGCAAGGUCUCAGGUACUUAACACUGAGAUUAUAUUUCAAUAAGUAUCAUAUUUAGUAAUGGCUAUACUUAGAUACAAUUUUUUACAAACUUGCGUAAUAUUAUGAAAUUGUAAGCUUAAAAUAUUAUCCUUAAACAAUUUUUGAAUAGAUAAGUAAUAUAGUAAAGAGUACCUACUUUUGACCCAUCUUGUGUUAAAAACGAUACCUACUUUUAAAGGUCUAUUUAUUUUUCAAAUAUAAGUA